GGUUAAGUUAGAAAGGGCGCACGGUGGAUGCCUUGGCACUAGGAGCCGAUGAAGGACGGGACGAACACCGAUAUGCUUCGGGGAGCUGUAAGCAAGCUUUGAUCCGGAGAUUUCCGAAUGGGGAAACCCACCACUCGUAAUGGAGUGGUAUCCAUAUCUGAAUACAUAGGAUAUGAGAAGGCAGACCCGGGGAACUGAAACAUCUAAGUACCCGGAGGAAGAGAAAGCAAAUGCGAUUCCCUGAGUAGCGGCGAGCGAAACGGGACCAGCCCAAACCAAGAGGCUUGCCUCUUGGGGUUGUAGGACACUCUGUACGGAGUUACAAAGGAACGAGGUAGAUGAAGAGGUCUGGAAAGGCCCGCCAUAGGAGGUAACAGCCCUGUAGUCAAAACUUCGUUCUCUCCUGAGUGGAUCCUGAGUACGGCGGAACACGUGAAAUUCCGUCGGAAUCCGGGAGGACCAUCUCCCAAGGCUAAAUACUCCCUAGUGACCGAUAGUGAACCAGUACCGUGAGGGAAAGGUGAAAAGCACCCCGGAAGGGGAGUGAAAGAGAUCCUGAAACCGUGUGCCUACAAGUAGUCAGAGCCCGUUAACGGGUGAUGGCGUGCCUUUUGUAGAAUGAACCGGCGAGUUACGAUCCCGUGCAAGGUUAAGCAGAAGAUGCGGAGCCGCAGCGAAAGCGAGUCUGAAUAGGGCGAAUUGAGUACGUGGUCGUAGACCCGAAACCAGGUGAUCUACCCAUGUCCAGGGUGAAGUUCAGGUAACACUGAAUGGAGGCCCGAACCCACGCACGUUGAAAAGUGCGGGGAUGAGGUGUGGGUAGGGGUGAAAUGCCAAUCGAACCUGGAGAUAGCUGGUUCUCUCCGAAAUAGCUUUAGGGCUAGCCUCAAGGUAAGAGUCUCGGAGGUAGAGCACUGAUUGGACUAGGGGCCCCUACCGGGUUACCGAAUUCAGUCAAACUCCGAAUGCCGAUGACUUAUCCUUGGGAGUCAGACUGCGAGUGAUAAGAUCCGUAGUCGAAAGGGAAACAGCCCAGACCGCCAGCUAAGGUCCCAAAGUAUACGUUAAGUGGAAAAGGAUGUGGAGUUGCUUAGACAACCAGGAUGUUGGCUUAGAAGCAGCCACCAUUUAAAGAGUGCGUAAUAGCUCACUGGUCGAGUGACUCUGCGCCGAAAAUGUACCGGGGCUAAACGUAUCACCGAAGCUGCGGACUGUUCUUCGAACAGUGGUAGGAGAGCGUUCUAAGGGCUGUGAAGCAAGACCGGAAGGACUUGUGGAGCGCUUAGAAGUGAGAAUGCCGGUAUGAGUAGCGAAAGAGGGGUGAGAAUCCCCUCCACCGAAUGCCUAAGGUUUCCUGAGGAAGGCUCGUCCGCUCAGGGUUAGUCGGGACCUAAGCCGAGGCCGAAAGGCGUAGGCGAUGGAUAACAGGUUGAUAUUCCUGUACCACCUCCUCACCAUUUGAGCAAUGGGGGGACGCAGGAGGAUAGGGUAAGCGCGGUAUUGGAUAUCCGCGUCCAAGCAGUUAGGCUGGGAAACAGGCAAAUCCGUUUCCCGUGAAGGCUGAGCUGUGAUGGCGAGCGAAUUAUAGUAGCGAAGUUCCUGAUUCCACACUGCCAAGAAAAGCCUCUAGCGAGGUGAGAGGUGCCCGUACCGCAAACCGACACAGGUAGGCGAGGAGAGAAUCCUAAGGUGAUCGAGAGAACUCUCGUUAAGGAACUCGGCAAAAUGACCCCGUAACUUCGGGAGAAGGGGUGCUCUGUUAGGGUGCAAGCCCGAGAGAGCCGCAGUGAAUAGGCCCAGGCGACUGUUUAGCAAAAACACAGGUCUCUGCGAAGCCGUAAGGCGAAGUAUAGGGGCUGACGCCUGCCCGGUGCUGGAAGGUUAAGAGGAGCGCUUAGCGUAAGCGAAGGUGCGAAUUGAAGCCCCAGUAAACGGCGGCCGUAACUAUAACGGUCCUAAGGUAGCGAAAUUCCUUGUCGGGUAAGUUCCGACCCGCACGAAAGGCGCAACGAUCUGGGCACUGUCUCAACGAGAGACUCGGUGAAAUUAUAGUACCUGUGAAGAUGCAGGUUACCCGCGACAGGACGGAAAGACCCCGUGGAGCUUUACUGCAGCCUGAUAUUGAAUGUUGGUACAGCUUGUACAGGAUAGGUAGGAGCCUUGGAAACCGGAGCGCCAGCUUCGGUGGAGGCAUCGGUGGGAUACUACCCUGGCUGUAUUGACCUUCUAACCCGCCGCCCUUAUCGGGCGGGGAGACAGUGUCAGGUGGGCAGUUUGACUGGGGCGGUCGCCUCCUAAAAGGUAACGGAGGCGCCCAAAGGUUCCCUCAGAAUGGUUGGAAAUCAUUCGCAGAGUGUAAAGGCACAAGGGAGCUUGACUGCGAGACCUACAAGUCGAGCAGGGACGAAAGUCGGGCUUAGUGAUCCGGUGGUUCCGCAUGGAAGGGCCAUCGCUCAACGGAUAAAAGCUACCCCGGGGAUAACAGGCUUAUCUCCCCAAGAGUCCACAUCGACGGGGAGGUUUGGCACCUCGAUGUCGGCUCAUCGCAUCCUGGGGCUGUAGUCGGUCCCAAGGGUUGGGCUGUUCGCCCAUUAAAGCGGUACGCGAGCUGGGUUCAGAACGUCGUGAGACAGUUCGGUCCCUAUCCGUCGCGGGCGCAGGAAAUUUGAGAGGAGCUGUCCUUAGUACGAGAGGACCGGGAUGGACGCACCGCUGGUGUACCAGUUGUUCUGCCAAGGGCAUCGCUGGGUAGCUAUGUGCGGACGGGAUAAGUGCUGAAAGCAUCUAAGCAUGAAGCCCCCCUCAAGAUGAGAUUUCCCAUUCCGCAAGGAAGUAAGAUCCCUGAAAGAUGAUCAGGUUGAUAGGUCUGAGGUGGAAGUGUGGCGACACAUGGAGCUGACAGAUACUAAUCGAUCGAGGACUUAACCAA
rnacentral:rRNA from 1 species